AUCGCAGAAAAAUUAAUACCAGCCUCUAAAAAAUUUUGCGACUGUCUCCGAUUCAGUUUUUGUGCACAAUUUCUAAAUUAAAAUGUGAAAGGAACAAAUAAACAUGUAAAAUACAUAUUCAUUACAUGUUAUGUUUAGUGAAACAUAACAUGAAUAUGUCGUGAAAUAUGAAGGCAACUAGUAUUUUAAAGAUCUGCCUCGGAAUUAUUUUCUCAAAUUCAACAGUUUGCACACAAUUUCUACAACACCGUGUUUUUGUCCAGUGCUCAAUCGAAACCUUCGUUAGAAUACCAUCCAAACCAACUGAAUGGAUUAAAGUUGUAGCCAUACUAAUCCCUUACAAAAUCUUUCUGCUUGUCACGGAACUGGAAAAGUCAAUAUUUUAAUCCAUGAUUAUCGAAAUAUUAAUAAUAUUUAACAACUUAAUUCAAAUCGUUUGGACAAACGGUUCCUGUUUUCGGAAAAAGCACUUACGCUUUUUACGCUCCCUCUGAUCGGUAAUGUUUUGUUUGAUCAUAUUAUAGAGGUUCCUUGGUAACCUGUUCAUAGAAACCAGAACAGUGUUGCUCGAAAAGAUUAUUUUUAUCAUGAGCAAGGGGUCUUUCGAUAUUCGAUAACUGAUGGUAAUUCAUUAACAGACAGUUUUAAUACCGAUUUACCGACGACACGAACUGCCACUCGACUAUCAAAACUGUAUCGCAAAUCUAACUACCCCUCAGUAACUGGUAAUGUCAAAACGAAAUCGCUUGAAAAAAUGUUGGAACUGGCAACACAAGUUGGAAAAUUAUUGAUUUUGAAAAACAGUUACCAGUAGCCUUGGUAACUACAUAUGGAAUGUAAACAAAAACAAAAGAUUCUCACUUAAAACCAAACCACUGAAUGUAGUUGGCCCGCUGGCAGUUUUUUCCAUAAGGUUUGUAAUCAACUGUGAAAAAGAAGCACCCACUGAUUAACUUGUUGGUGUCAUCUGUAUUUGGAUGUGAUAAAGGACAGUUUGUUAUAUACAUUAAAACAGAAAAUGACAUUGACCUAGAUAUUGGCAAUCAUUCAAAGCUGUUUGGUGCCUCUGCAGUACUCAAAAUGAAGGUGGCGCGUGGCUGUUUAUGAAGAUUGAUGGUGUUAUACUUUGCAUGUAAUAUUUUAACACAUAAUUUUCAUAUACAUAUUCAACAGAUUGAACAGUUUAUCGAAUGUGUGAAUAAAGUUUAUGAAUAAAUAGA